GAUGAACGCUGGCGGCGUGCCUAAUACAUGCAAGUCGAGCGAAGCGGGGGCGGGGGAGUAACACGUGGAUAACCUCCUAUAAGACUGGGAUAAACUAGGGAAACCGGAGCUAAACCGGAUACUUAUACAUGGAUCCGCGUUGCAUUAGCUAGUUGGAAAGGUAACGGCUAACCUAGGCAACGAUCCAUAGCCGACCUGAGAGGGUGAUCGGCCACACUGGAACUGAGACACGGUCCAGACUCCUACGGGAGGCAGCAGUAGGGAAUCUUCCGCAAUGGGCGAAAGCCUGACGGAGCAACGCCGCGUGAGUGAUGAAGGUCUUCGGAUCGUAAAACUCUGUUAUUAGGGAAGCGGUACCUAAUCAGAAAGCCACGGCUAACUCCGUGCCAGCAGCCGCGGUAAUUC
rnacentral:rRNA from 1 species